AAACAUCUUUUCUUGUUAGUUUUUGAAGUAUGGCCUGCCCACCGACGUUAAUAGAGGUUGAAGGGCCGCGGUAUUUUGACCGUGCAAAGGUAGCAUAAUCAUUAGUUCUUUAAUUGUGAUCUGGUAUGAAUGGCUUGACGAGACAUGAACUGUCUUAGAGGUAUUUUUUAUUGAAAUUGGUUUCUGAGUUAAAAUUCUUAGAUAUUUUUAUGGGACGAGAAGACCCUAUAGAGUUUGACAUUUAUCCUUCUUUUGUUUGUGUUUGUUUGGUUUAUUUAAGAUGGUGGGGUGUUUUGUUGGGGUGAUGGGAGGAAUAAAAUUUAACUCCUCUUUGAUUUUGUAUAUUAAUUUAUAUAUUUAUUUUGAUCCAUUUAUUUUGAUUAUAAGAUUAAAUUACCUUAGGGAUAACAGCGUUAUCUUCCUUGAGAGUUCUAAUGGCAGGGAGGUUUGCGACCU
rnacentral:rRNA from 1 species